GUUAGAUUUUUCUUGCUUACUCAUUUCCCUCGAGCACCCAACCCCCCGUUCCCACUCCAAAACCCCGCUCAACCGCCUACCCUCACCGCUUCAGCCCCCAACAGAAUCCGGUGCCCCCGCGGCGUCGGCGGCCCCCGAGCCGUCCCGGUCACUAACCUGCUGCUUCGGAGUUUCCAAGUCUCUCCUCCUUCUCUCCUCCCCGCCCGGCGCUUCCGAGCCCCCUCUCUCUCUUUUCUUUUUAUUUUUCCGCACCGCACAGGCCCCGGGGGCCAAAAAUAAUCGGGGCUCUGGAGAGAGGAGGGUCCCGGCCGCACGGAUAUCGGGCCCCAAGCGGGGAUGGAGGCGUCGGGGGCGGCCGAUGCAACGGAUUGCGAGGCGGCGGCGGCAGCCCGGGUGCUGCGGCCGGCAGCUGAAAAAUGGCUCCAGGAAGCUGCUGCUGACAAUGAAUGAAGGGAUACGGUUUACGCGCCAAGGUCCUCCCGCGAAACUCGGAUUUCCCGCCGGCUUUUCAAACCAUAUUUGCAUAUCCCCGCCCCUCAACCCGCCGAGGACCGUUCCCACAGCCCAUUGGGCCGCUACCUCCUUACUUCAGUCCCAAUCAUGGAGCAGGGCCGCGACUUGCUGGUUUCCAUUGGCUGCCGUGCAUCAUGGUUACCGGGGCGACAGGGACCCUAUUUGCAUAGGCCUCCUUGAUUGGCUGGCAGAAGAGCAGUUUUUAGGGGGUGGGGCAAAGAAUUUCCUUCUCUCCCACGGAAGACCACGCCUGGCCUAGGCUCCGCCCCUGUCCCCGCCCGCCCGCCGGGCCGGCGCUACUGACCUGGGCAGGGACUCCGCGCCCCGCAGACUCAGUGUAGAUCUAGUCUAGAGCCCAAGUUUCGCUUUUGGAAAUUGUCAAGGUGACUAAGGGAACACUCUUUCCUUUGACCAGUCAGUGCAAUAAACGAACAGCGCAGGAGAUUUUUCCAGAUACGUGCCAAAGGCAAGUUGGACCAUGCGGACGAUGUCUGGCAGGUGCAAAAGGAGCCCUUUAAAUCGUGGGCUUCUCCCUUCCUGAAAUCCAACCAAUGACGCGGCGAGAGCUGAUCCCGAGGCCGGGGCUGAUAGACAGAAGCAUGUGGGCAGACAGAAUCGUGGGGGCAGAAGGUUCAGCAGACGCGAUUGCGGGCACCAGUUAACAUUCCAGAUCAUUCCCGGUACCUUCAUUAUUAGCCUGGAUAGGGGUAAAGUACAAAUUAACUCUUUUGUCUUACAACGGAUAUUGGUUUGAAUCCAGCAGACAUUCCCUCUGGCCCAGAAACACCCAGGGCAGUUAAUCAGGGCUAACCUAGAACUGAUCUACGGGUUUCUAAUCCGCCAAGCAGUAAUCCGAAAAAGUACACGCUUCCCACGAUGACGUCGUGCCCCCAACGAACGCAGGCACGCCCAGGCAUCAGCACUUUAUAUCUUCAGUUUUGUAGGAAGUUCUCUGACUGGAAGCAAACACAACGACUCAAACCUAUCCCAA
rnacentral:lncRNA from 10 species